rnacentral:rRNA from 1 species
GGAUCCAGACUUUGAUCAUGGCUCAGGACGAACGCUGGCGGCGUGCUUAACACAUGCAAGUCGAACGAGAAGAGAUGAGAAGCUUGCUUCUUAUUGAUUCGAGUGGCAAACGGGUGAGUAACGCGUAAGCAACCUGCCCUCUAGAUGGGGACAACAGCUGGAAACGGCUGCUAAUACCGAAUACGUUCUUUCUGUCGCAUGGCAGAGGGAAGAAAGGGAGGCUCUUCGGAGCUUUCGCUGGAGGAGGGGCUUGCGUCUGAUUAGCUAGUUGGAGGGGUAACGGCCCACCAAGGCGACGAUCAGUAGCCGGUCUGAGAGGAUGAACGGCCACAUUGGGACUGAGACACGGCCCAGACUCCUACGGGAGGCGGCAGUGGGGAAUCUUCCGCAAUGGACGAAAGUCUGACGGAGCAACGCCGCGUGAACGAUGACGGCCUUCGGGUUGUAAAGUUCUGUUAUACGGGACGAAUGGUACGACGGUCAAUACCCGUCGUAAGUGACGGUACCGUAAGAGAAAGCCACGGCUAACUACGUGCCAGCAGCCGCGGUAAUACGUAGGUGGCAAGCGUUGUCCGGAAUUAUUGGGCGUAAAGGGCGCGCAGGCGGCGUCGUAAGUCGGUCUUAAAAGUGCGGGGCUUAACCCCGUGAGGGGACCGAAACUGCGAUGCUAGAGUAUCGGAGAGG